CAGCAGCCGCGGGAAUACAGAGGGUGCGAGCGUUAAUCGGAUUUACUGGGCGUAAAGCGUGCGUAGGCGGCUUUUUAAGUCGGAUGUGAAAUCCCUGAGCUUAACUUAGGAAUUGCAUUCGAUACUGGGAAGCUAGAGUAUGGGAGAGGAUGGUAGAAUUCCAGGUGUAGCGGUGAAAUGCGUAGAGAUCUGGAGGAAUACCGAUGGCGAAGGCAGCCAUCUGGCCUAAUACUGACGCUGAGGUACGAAAGCAUGGGGAGCAAACAGGAUUAGAUACCCGAGUAGUCCCUGUCUCUUAUAA
rnacentral:rRNA from 1 species